AAGCUCGUAGUUGAAUUUCGGGACCAAUAUGUCGGUCGUGCCUCGGUAUGUACUGGCAUCGUUGGUCUCUCCCUUCUGACGAACCAUGAUGUCAUUUAUUUGGUGUCGUGGGGAAUCAGGACUGUUACUUUGAAAAAAUUAGAGUGUUUAAAGCAGGCUCACGCUUGAAUACAUUAGCAUGGAAUAAUGAAGUAGGACGUUUGAUUCUAUUUUGUUGGUUUCUAGGAUCGACGUAAUGAUUAAUAGGAUAGUUGGG
rnacentral:rRNA from 1 species